rnacentral:rRNA from 1 species
UACGUAGGGGGCAAGCGUUGUCCGGAAUUAUUGGGCGUAAAGAGCGUGUAGGCGGUCCGGUAAGUCGGCUGUGAAAGUCCAGGGCUCAACCCUGGGCCUGCAUUCGAUACGGGCAGACUAGAGUUCGGUAGGGGAGACUGGAAUUCCUGGUGUAGCGGUGAAAUGCGCAGAUAUCAGGAGGAACACCGGUGGCGAAGGCGGGUCUCUGGGCCGAAACUGACGCUGAAGCUCGAAAGCUAGGGGAGCAAACGGG